CUACGGGAGGCAGCAGUGGGGAAUUUUGGACAAUGGGCGCAAGCCUGAUCCAGCAAUGCCGCGUGAGUGAAGAAGGCCUUCGGGUUGUAAAGCUCUUUUAGUCAAGAAGAAAAGGUUGUGACUAAUAAUCAUAACUCAUGACGGUACUGACAGAAAAAGCACCGGCUAACUACGUGCCAGCAGCCGCGGUAAUACGUAGGGUGCAAGCGUUAAUCGGAAUUACUGGGCGUAAAGGGUGCGCAGGCGGUUUUGUAAGUCAGAUGUGAAAUCCCCGGGCUUAACCUGGGAACUGCGUUUGAAACUACAAGACUAGAGUGUGGCAGAGGGGGGUGGAAUUCCAUGUGUAGCAGUGAAAUGCGUAGAGAUAUGGAAGAACAUCGAUGGCGAAGGCAACCCCCUGGGUUAACACUGACGCUCAGGCACGAAAGCGUGGGGAGCAAACAGGAUUAGAUACCCCGGU
rnacentral:rRNA from 1 species